GUGGGGAAUAUUGGACAAUGGGCGAAAGCCUGAUCCAGCCAUGCCGCGUGUGUGAAGAAGGUCUUCGGAUUGUAAAGCACUUUAAGUUGGGAGGAAGGGCAGUAAGUUAAUACCUUGCUGUUUUGACGUUACCGACAGAAUAAGCACCGGCUAACUACGUGCCAGCAGCCGCGGUAAUACGUAGGGUGCAAGCGUUAAUCGGAAUUACUGGGCGUAAAGCGCGCGUAGGUGGUUUUGUAAGUUGGAGGUGAAAUCCCCGGGCUCAACCUGGGAACUGCCUCCAAAACUACUGAGCUAGAGUACGGUAGAGGGUAGUGGAAUUUCCUGUGUAGCGGUGAAAUGCGUAGAUAUAGGAAGGAACACCAGUGGCGAAGGCGACUACCUGGACUGAUACUGACACUGAGGUGCGAAAGCGUGGGGAGCAAACAGGAUUAGAAACCCGUGUAGUCC
rnacentral:rRNA from 1 species